rnacentral:sRNA from 1 species
GUAACCGCUGAAUUCCAAUUGGAAGCGGGGGAACCAAUUUUUUGUGGCGCUGCCACUUGGGGUGAAUCCUUUUCAAGGUAAGGUGACUCUUUGCACCUGAAUCCGACAGCUAACCUCGCAAGCGUUUAAAGAGA